rnacentral:pre_miRNA from 1 species
GUCACUGAGGUAUCUUGUUAAAAUGCAGAUACUCAUUCUGCAUGUCUGGAGGAGGACUCAGAUUCUGCAUUUCUAAUAAGCUCCCAGGUGAUGCUGA